rnacentral:piRNA from 1 species
UGUGAGAUGGAGCAAGAUGAAGGCCACAUGU